rnacentral:rRNA from 1 species
UCUUCCACAAUGGACGAAAGUCUGAUGGAGCAACGCCGCGUGAGUGAAGAAGGUUUUCGGUUCGUAAAGCUCUGUUGUUGGUGAAGAAGGAUAGAGGCAGUAACUGGUCUUUAUUUGACGGUAAUCAACCAGAAAGUCACGGCUAACUACGUGCCAGCAUCCGCGGUAAUACGUAGGUGGCAAGCGUUGUCCGGAUUUAUUGGGCGUAAAGCGAGCGCAGGCGGAAUGAUAAGUCUGAUGUGAAAGCCCACGGCUCAACCGUGGAACUGCAUCGGAAACUGUCAUUCUUGAGUGCAGAAGAGGAGAGUGGAACUCCAUGUGUAGCGGUGGAAUGCGUAGAUAUAUGGAAGAACAACAGUGGCGAAGGCGGCUCUCUGGUCUGCAACUGACGCUGAGGCUCGAAAGCAUGGGUAGCGAACAGGA